rnacentral:lncRNA from 1 species
AGCAGGAAAAGUGAUGUCCACAAACGCAUUCAACAUGCUCUGGAUAUGGGGAAAUCUUGCAUUUCCUUUCACAAUGGAGAGAGAGGAAACCCUUUGGAGAGCAGAAGAUUGGACUCUCCAGCUGCUGGUUGACCGCAUAGACAUGAGCAUCAUGCAAUGGGUUAGAAUUAGAUCAUGGAUGCAUUCAUUGCUUCAAUACUUGUGACUAAUAACAAUGACAUGUAUUUGAUUAAAAUAUAAAUUUCGUUACCUUAGGCAACGCAAGGGAAACUGAUCUGCUUGUACGGCGGGGACGACAUCGAGUGGAUACGGAAAUUCGCGGCGGCGACAAAAGAGGCGGCGAGUGCUUACGGGACGGAAUUGGAAAUGGUACACGUAGGAAAGAG